UACGCCCGCCGCGCCUUCCACCUCUGGUCCGCCUGGGGCUGGGAUAUGGGUCCCACGCUGCCCCCUGCUGGCUUCUCUACCCAACUACCUCUAGCGCUCCCCCGCUCCGGCGGGGUAAGCUCACUAAGCUAAUCGCCCCUGAGGGCCCACUACCGUUCUUGCCCCCCCAGCCCUGCCUCUCCGGGUCUGGACAGCCCGGAGCCCUCCUCCCCUUCCUGCGAAGGACUGGGAGGGGUCUCUCCUGAUGGUACUCGGGCAUAGGGCGGGGACGCGUCAGCCUGGGGUGGCCGGCGGCCCCUAGCCCGGCGGCUGUGGUGCACUUGAAGGUGCAAGGCCGAGGUCAGGAGGCUGGGGGGCGCGGGCAGGCCCGGAGGCAGGCCCCGGGGCACGCAGUGGGCCCAGCUUGCUGGCGUGCACCU
rnacentral:lncRNA from 1 species